rnacentral:lncRNA from 1 species
AAUGUUCCCUUUGUUAUGUGGACAUACAGAAAACAGUUUUCUUGUCCCGCAAGGAUUCUGUUGAUUUUGAAAUUUUAGGCCUGGCAUGGGGAUCAGUGAAUAUAUGAGUGACUUAAGAAACAAACAAACAUAUUUCAUUUUAAUGCUGACCUUUUUUUUUUCUUUUUUAACCUUUUAAUAUAAACUAAAUUAAGUUUCAACAGGAGAAGAUGCUUUUAACCGCAAAGACAAGACUUUUUGUUUUUAAAAUGUUGAAAUGGCACAUUUCUAGAAUUUCAAAACCUGUUUUUCCUUUUUUUUUUUUUUUUUUUUUUUUGUCAGCAGAAGUCACGUUCUGACAGGUUGCUCUCAAUGUGAUUGUAAGCGUGGUUGGAUGUGUGGUAGGCUAUGCUAAACUAUUUUUUUUCCAUAUGUGUUUUUUUCCCCUUUUUCCCCUCUCUCUGUCUUUUUUCUUUCUGUUUUCUUUUUUUUUUUUUUUUUUUUGAGGACAGGAAGCUCUUCUGGGAAUAAUCUCAGAUUUGAUGAAUUGUCAGUUGUGACCAUCUCUCUUCUUCUCUAUGAAAGCCCUGUUCUCACUCUCAACUCUAAACGACAGCUUCCAAUACUUUCCAGAAGUCUACGGAGGAAAUUAAGGCACAAAUUUCCCUGUAGCCAGAGGACCCACCCACUGUGCCGGCUGGAGAUGGAGGAAAGGUGGAAUGGAAGCACCAAGGGCUAG